UGAGUCGUACUUUGGAAAUUUAUAUUCAUUUAAUAAAAGAUAAAAAAAAUAAAAAUAAAAUCUUUAAAAAAAAAGAAAGCUUUUAUCUAAUAAAUACAAAUUUCAUAGGUACAGCUUUAGGAAUAUAGUGGUUCUUCCCCACUACUGAUGGCUUUUUAAGAUGAGGGAGAGAGACGCCACACACAUGUGUGUUUGUGCACACACUCACUGUCUCUCAUCAGGUGACAUCCUGAGCCUCCUUAGAACUCUGCCAGCAAGAAGACCAUCCCCAGAUGUGGCCCCUCAGCUUUUGGCCUCUAAAACCAUGAGCCAAAAUAAACCUCUUCUCUUUGUAAAGUCAUUUAAUAUCACAUAUUUCAUUAUAGUAACACAAAAUGGACUCAUACAAAUGAUAUUCCAGAUUUGAGGACGAUAUUCUGAGCUGAUUUUUUUUAAGUUAUUAGAGAGAGAAUAGUAUUAACAUCCACUGGUUCACUCCCCAUUUGCCCAAAAGGGUCAAGGCUGGGCCAAAGCCAAAGCCAGGAGUCAGGAAUUCAAUCCAGGUUUUCAACAUGGGUGGCAAAGACCCAAUCACUUGAGCCAUCACUGCUACCUCCCAGGAUCAGAUCUGCAUUAGCAAGAACCUGGAGGUAGGAGUUGGAGUCAGGUAUCAAGCCCAGGUACUCUGAUAUGGGAUAAGGAUAUCAUAACCACAAGGCCAAAUGCCUGUGGGUGAACUUCCAAGAGUCCUGACUGAUGUGAAAAUACUACUUGCUAAUGAACAUGCAGCAAAGGUGAUCACAGUCUUCUGUCCUGAGCUCUCUGCAGCCUCAGCUGUUUUCUAUUCAAUAGCUGGGAGCAUAAAGAAGAGUCUUUGCCCUAAAGUUGUAACUGUGAAAUAAAUGGAGUUUGUAACUGUAAAGCAGUAUAGUCCUGCAUACAUUCCUAUGGGCUUACUUCUAAGGGUACAGCUUAAGAACUUGCCAUGGGACCCCAAAUCCUCUUAAGCUAGGUGGUAAAAAUAGCAUUCUAAGUGUUACAGAGAUCAUGUGGAUACGAUUAAGUGUUAAAGUGAUCAUAUAGAUAGGAUCAAGUGUUAGGGUAAUCAUAUAAAUAGGAUUAAGGGGCCCACAGGGCUGUGGUGCAGUCGUGCAAUGCGUUAAAGCCCUGGCCUGAAGCACCAGCAUCCUAUAUGGGCCCUGGUUCUAGUCCUGGCUGCUCCUCUUCUGAUGCAGCUCUCUGCUAUGGCCUGGCAUAGCAGUGGAAGUAUGGCCCAAGUCCUUGGGCCCCUGCACCCACGUGGGAGACCCGGAAGAAGCUCCUGGCUCCUGGCUACAGAUCAGCACAGUUUCAGCCAUUUGGGGAGUGAACCAGCAGAUGGAAUACCCCUCUCUCUGUAACUCUGUCUUUCAAAUAAAUAAAACAGAUUUAAAAAAAAAUAAUAAGUGUUUGGUAAUAAUAAUAAACAAAAUUUAAAAAGAGUGAAUGCUCCAACAUGAGAAGCACUCCACACAACAGACUCAUAGAAUGACAGUCACCUUAAGUAGCAUUCUGACCUCAGAAUCAACCCUUAAGGCAUUUUGAUUUGGCUGAAAAGCUCAUGAGAGCAUUUCAGGCAUGGAAAGCCAAGAAACUGUGGCAAAAAAUGUUCUACACUGAGGAUGAGACCCCAGUGAAAAGAAGCAGUCACCAAAGAAGGAUGAACUUUCCUCUGAAGGGAGGAGAGUGCUUCCACUUUGCCUGUGGCCUUGUCAAAAUACUGAAGGAAUGUGUGGAUCCAAAAGCCUUCCAUAGCCUAUGCAGCUCAUCUCAAGAGCCUCAGGUGAUCACUGACAUCAUAUGUAAGAGUGUUAUUUGUUCAAUUAACAAUUUACUGUGCACUAACUUCCCGUGCAGGACCUCUGUCCUCAAAGGGUUGUAUUUUGAGACUUCAUGGUAAAACUUGUUCUCAAAGAAUUUGUUUUAGUGGAGGAUAUUCUUAUGUCACAUAAAUUAUAGUUAUCUCUAAGUGUUCACAAAAGAUGUAUCAUUCUUGGAUUUAUCUUUAAAGAUAAUUAAGUUUCUAAAAAAAAGACAAAAUUAUCAUAGAGAUGCAAUGACUUUGAACAGCCCUUGUCUGGACUAUUGAGGAACAGUUUUUGUUCUUGUUUUUUUUUUUUUUUAUGCUUUUGUUUUUAGUUUGUUUGUUUGCUUGUUUUGUUUUUCUUUCUCUCUUUUUCUUCCUCAUACAAACUGCUAAACUCUUUACCUAGAAUAGAGUUAAUCUUCUGUGUAUAAAGUUAAAUGAAAAUAGAUCUUAGUAAAAAACAAGACUGGAACAUGAGAGGGAAGGGGAAGUGAGGAAGGAGUGUAGGUGGGAAGGCGGGUAUGGUGGGAAGAAUUACUAUGUUCCUAAAACUGUAUUUAUGAAAUGCAUGCAAAUAAAUAAAAAAGAAUAUUUGUGUGGAACUUCUGUCAGGAAGAUCUAUAUCCAGUUACCCUCUGGGUGUUUCUUUGUUUGUUUGUUUGUGACAGAGUUAGUGAGAAAGAGACAGAGAGAAAGGUCUUCCUUCCAUUGGUUCAUCCCCCAAAUGGCCGCCACGGCUGGCGCACUGCACCAAUCCGGAGCCAGGAGCCAGGUGCUUCUUCCUGGUCUCCCAUGCGGGUGCAGGGCCCAAGCACUUGGGCCAUCCUCUACUGCCUUCCUGGGCCACAACAGAAAGCUGGACUGGAAGAGGAGCAACCGGGACUAGAACCCGAUGCCCAUAUGGGAUGCCGGCACUGCAGGCAGAGGAUUAGCCUAGUGAGCCACUGCUCUGGCCAACUCUCUGUGUUUCUAUAAAUUGAGUCUUGGUUGAUGGUGAAAGAGCUGAGAACUUCCAUAUUGGUAGAACAACGGGUUGUUUUAUUCUGGUAAUCUGCUUUUGCCUGUGAGGGAUCAAGCUGAACCUUUUUCUUCUUAUUCUCUUCCUGCAAAAUAAAUGCAAUUACAACUUCCCUUUGUCAAAGUUUGCUUAUGACCACCCAAAAGGAAUCACUUAGAGGACUGAGAAUUUGAGCUGCUUCUGUACCUCUGAACAUGGAUGUACAUGUCGUCUAGAUGUGGAUUCCUGACCACCAAUUACAGGAAUGAAUAAUAUCAUCUAUAAAAGGUUGUGAUGCAAUCUGUAACACAAUCAUCUCAUCAUAUUGUCUUGAAGUUUCUAGGCAAAAUGCCCAAGGCCCAGUGAAGUAAAUUCACAUACGCUGAUGACUCCACCCUGGUUUAUCGCUCCAUCACUGGUUUUCAUCCGUUCCUCUCCUUAUGCCUCCUGACUGUUAGACCUUCUUUUUCCACUGACCCAGUGAAAGAGCAGUCCUAACUUGCUCAUUAAAUAGGAAACAUAGUCUGACAGCCUGAGAAAGCCACUUGGCCAUUUGGAAGCAAUCACAUUUUGUGUAUCAGAAGCAAAUAUUAUCCUUUGUUUUUCCCAAAGAAACGUUUCGUUUAAGGAACACAUUUCAUGCAUUUUGUAAGUACAACUUUAGGAAUAUAGUGAUUCUUCCCCUAUACCUGCCCUCCCACCCACACUCCCAAAUAUUAUCCUUUUUGCAGCUGGAACUUCCAGUGCCUCAAGGCCUUGAUGAAUUCUGUUUUGGUGGAAGCCACCACUCAGACACAAUCAGACACUUACUACCCAAGGUGAGGGCAGACCCCACAGGGUAAGGGCACCACUCUUAAGAAAACUGCCUUCCUUUUAGGUGUCAACAGCAAGUUUGGAGGCCCUCAGAUCACCCAUACUUCUGACCAACUGGCUACAUAGUGGACCCCUCAAUGUCAAUAGUUCAUUAGAAAAACUCAGAGAAGGGGCCAGCACUGUGGUAUAAUAGGCUAAGCUUGCAGCACUGGCAUCCCAUAUCGACACUGGUUCAUGUUCCAGCUGCUCUUCCAAUCCAGCUCUUUGUUUAUGACCUGAGAAAGCAAUGGAAGAUGGCCCAAGUCCUUGGAUGAAACUCCUUGCUCCUGGCUUGGGAUCAGUCCAACUCUGAGGAGUGAACCAGCAGAUUGAAGACCUUUCUCUCUGUCCCUCUCCCUCUCUGUAACUCUACCUCUCAAAUAAAGAAGAUCCUUGGCGGGGGGAGUCAUAGCAGGCACAAAUCAAGACCAGCCAAAUGAAGACAUAUAGUUGAGGUCUGGGAGGGUCUCAGAUGCAGAACUUCCCUGCCCUUUCCCCAUGGAAUCAGGAUGUAUCCUCUACUAGCACGCCCAUGUGUUCACCAUUGAGGAGGAGCUUUGGUGUCUAGAGGUUUUACAGGGGUUUCAUUGUGUAGGCAUGAUUGCUUGAGUCAUUUUUUUUUUUUUUUUGAUAGGCAGAGUGGACAGUGAGAGAGAGAGACAGAGAGAGAAAGGUCUUCCCUUGCCGUUGGUUCACCCUCCAAUGGCCGCCGCUGCAGCCGGCGCACCGCGCUGAUCCGAUGGCAGGAGCCAGGAGCCAGGUGCUUUUUCCUGGUCUCCCAUGGGGUGCAGGGCCCAAGCACUUGGGCCAUCCUCCACUGCACUCCCUGGCCAUAGCAGAGAGCUGGCCUGGAAGAGGGGCAACCGGGACAGAAUCCGGCACCCUGACCGGGACUAGAACCCGGUGUGCCGGCGCCGCAAGGUGGAGGAUUAGCCUAUUGAGCCACGGCGCCGGCUGAUUGCUUGAGUCAUUAACCACACAACUGAACUCAAACUCCAUCCCUCCUCAUCCUCAGAGGCCAGAAGGUCAGGCUGAUAUCAUAUGGCAGAGAAGAUAGAGGGUUGCAUAAUUUACCAUACCUUAAAACCCAAUAAAUGCUCCCUUUGAUAUGUUUUUUUUUAAGACUUAUUUUAUUUACUUGAAAGAGUUACAGAGAGAGGUAGAGACAGAGACAGAGAGAGAGGCCUUCCAUCCACUGGUUCACUCCCGAAAUGGCCACAUCAGCUGGAGCUGAGCCUAUCUGAAGCCAGGAGCCAGGACCUUCUUCCAAAUCUCCUAUGUGGGUGCAGGGGCCCAAGGACUUGAGCCAUCCUCUGCUGCUUUCCCAGGCACAUUAGCAGGGAGCUGGAUCAGAAGUGGAGCAGCCGGGACACGAACCAGCACCCAUAUGAAAUGCUGGAGCUGCAGGCCAGGGCUUUAACCUGCUAUGUCACAGCGCCAGCCUCCCUGAAUAUGUUUUUAUUUUUAAGAUUUAUUUAUUUAUUUAUUUAAAAGGCAGAGUUACAGAGAGAGAGGGAUGGCCAGCGCCGCGGCUCACUAGGCUAAUCCUCUGCCUGCAGUGCCGGCACACCAGGUUCUAGUCCCGGUUGGGGCGCCGGUUCUGUCCCGGUUGCCCCUCUUCCAGGCCAGCUCUCUGCUGUGGUCCGGGAGUGCAGUGGAGGAUGGCCCAAGUGCUUGGGCCCUGCACCCGCAUGGGAGACCAGGAGGAAACACCUGGCUCCUGCCUUGGGAUCAGCGCAGCGCCGGCCAUAGUGGCCAUUUUGGGGGUGAACCAACGAAAGGAAGACCUUUCUCUCUGUCUCUCUCUCUCUCACUGUCUAACUCUGCCUGGAGAGAGAGAGAGAGAGAGAGAGACAGAUCUUCCAUUCUCUGAUUUACUCCCCAAAUGAUCACAACAGCCAGAGCUGGGCCAAUUUGAAGCCAGGAGUCUAAAACUCCAUCCAGGUCUCCUACAUGGGUGUCACAGGCCCAAGUACUUGGACCAUCUUCUGCUGCCUUCCCAGGUGCAUUAGCAGGGAGUUGAACGAGAAGUGGAGCAGCUGUGACUCAAACCAGUGCUCAUAUGGGAUGCUGGUGUUGCAGGCAGCAGCUUAACCCACUUGGCCACAACAGUGGCCCAUGCAUAUAUUAGUACACUUGCAACUCAAUAUGCUUUUAAGCCAGGGUUAAAUCUGGCUGGAUAAAACAAAGAGUCCUAAACACAAUAGUAUAAACAAGAUAUAAGUUUGUUUUUGUGGGGAGCAACUCGGACUAGACUAAGUUACUGGAAUUAAGACUUAUUCUAUGCAUCUGCUCUCCCACAAUAUGGCGCUGGGAGAGGAGUAAACAACUUCUACACAGCUGCCUCUCGCCAACUUGACUGAUAAGCUGCAGGAGCUGAUCCUGCUCCUGAUUGGAGGAGAGCAGCGUACUCGGCGUGUGGGUAGCAGAGUUGGGAUUGGUGGAAGAGGACUAUAAAGGAGGAGAGAGACAACAUGCACCAGGAACAUCUAUCUGAAGGAACACCUGAGGAACAUCUGAGCAGCCCCCGAGAGAGCCAGCCGGUGGUGUGCCGCUCCCCUGCGGAAGUGGGGAAAGUGGCAGGGGGAGCCGCCCCUCCACGGAGUUGGAGGGGUCGGCAGCCAACCCGGGAAGGACCAGCAGCAAACCCGGGAAGGGCCGAGCAGACAAAAGAACAGCGCAGGGUCCAGUGUCGUUCCUCCACGAAUGGGGGAGCAACAGUUUUCAUUGCACAAAGGUUAGGUGACCCAGGGCUGAGAUGAUGAUUCAAUGAUCAUUAAGGGAUCAGGCUAUUUUUCUGUCAUCAUAUACAUGACUUCCACAUGCAAGAAACUUGGUAAUCCAAGAUAGCUGCAGUUUAUUCCAACUAAAGUUCAAACGGACAAUGAGUCCACAGAUAUCAACAGAUUCUCCCCAGUUUCAUUGUCAUGGGACUGUGGGAAAGGGAAGCAGUCUUGAGGUCCUUGCUUAUUAUGGGCUUGUCUUGUUCAUUCUCAAAUGAAGCUGGGAGAAUGACUCCAAGCUAAAAAGAUACUCUGUGUCAGGUUUAGAAGAUGUCUAUUUUGUUUUGUUUCUAUUUUUAGGACUAUAUAUGUAAUUUUAUUUUUACUUUUUAUGAGAGGGAGGGGAGGGAGGAAGGGAGGAAGAGAGAGAGAGAGAGAAACUGUGGUCUGCUGCUUUACUCUCCAAAUGUCCACAACAGUGAAGACUAGAUUGGGCUGAAGACAGGAACUCAAUCCAGGUCUCCUCCGUGGUGGCAGGGACCCAACCACUUAGGCAUCACUGAAGUCUCCGAGGGUCUGUGUUAGGGGGAGGUGGAGUCGAGAGCCAGAGCCAGAAACAGUCGCUGAGUGCUCCAGUGUGACACAUGGACAUCUUAACCAGUGCCUUAACUACUAUGGCAAACCCCUGCCACUAAGAUACAUAUUUUUAAAAUAAUGAAGAGCUUUGUCAUGGGCACAUCACAUUUAAGGGAGAAUUUCACACACACACACACACACACACACACACACACACACAGUUUAAUGCCAUUUGGAUCUAACCCUGAUCCUUUGGUCCAUCAAAAAUCUUCAACUACAGUGGAUUUUAUGUUCUCUCUACACCCCUGAUUGCACUAGGCAUCCCUCCUCACCACUCAUUGUCUUUAGUUCUCUGACUCCCUGACAAGACCUCCAGGCUCCACAAAGGCCUGGGACUAUUCCAUUUUGUUCAUUUUAUGCAUUUUCCAGUUCCUAGCUCAGUAUCUGAAUAUGGUAGAUCCAAUGCUCUUGACAAAUACUCUCAGAUAAAUGGCAAUGACAAUAAUGUAAUGACUAUAUUAAAACAUUAUGAAAAAUGUUCUUCAAUUUGCUAGUAAUUACAAGUGGCCUAUUGUGUUUUACAUGUUAAUUAGAUAGGAAAAGGGCCUGGAUAGGGUUCCUGGGUUCAGGCUUCAGGCUGGCCCAGCUCUGUGUGUUCCAGCCCUUUCAGGAGUAAACCAUCAGGUGGAAAGUCUCUCUGUCUUUCUGUUUCGCCCUCAGUCUCUAUGCCUUUCAAGUAAAUAAGUAAAUAGAAGAGGCCUUUGAAAAUUCAUGGAAAAUGGGAAUUUUGAAAAAAACUAUGCAUGGAUUUCAAGUUUUUUGCACCAAAUAAGCAUAUAUUUUAGUUUCAUAUUUCUGUACACAUCUUUUAAUUUCAUAUUUCUGAAGUUCCUUUUAUAUAACAAGUAUUUUAUAUCAUGAUUGUGACAUAUUUUACUUCACUUCAGUGUAUCCUUUUUUUUUUUUAAUAUUUAUUUAUUUAUUUAUUUGAAAGGCAGAGUUAGAGAGAGGCAGAGGCCAAGAGAGAGAGGUCUUCCAUCCACUGGUUCACACCCCAAAUAACCCUAAUGACCAGAGCUGAGCCUAUCCAAAGCCAAGAACCUGGAGCUUAUUCCAGAUCUCUCAUAGGGUGCAGGGACCCAAGCACUUGAUCCAACAGCUAGAUCUGGGCCGAUCUGGAGCCAGGAGCUUCCUGCAGGUCUCCCACAUGGGGGCUGGGGCCCAAGGACUUGUCCCAUCUUCCACUGCUUUUCCAGGCCAUAGCAGAGAGCUGGAUUGGAAGUGGAGCAGCUGGGACUUGAACUGGUGCCCAUAUGGGAUGCCAGCGCCACAGGCGGUGGUGUUACCCACUAUGCCACAGCACCUGGCCAGUCUGAAAUUUUAAAAAUUAUUUCUAUUUCUAUAUAAGAAUUAAAAUUAAUUUUUAGAAAUGAAAUUUCAAAUGCAAAUAGUCAUUUUGGGGUUAAACAAGAUGCAUAUUAAAUACUUCUUCCUAGCAAAGGCAAUACAAACCUAAGUGUUAAAAAAUUUCCUGUUAUUAAAUUUAUUUAAAAAAUUAUUCUGGGUGCCGGCACUGUGGCAUAGCAGGUAAAUCCAGUCUGUGACACCAGCCACCCCCUGUGGACACUGGUUUGAGUCCUGGCUGCUCCACUUCUAAUCUAGCUCCCUGUUCAUGCACCUGGGAAAGCAAUGGAAGAUGGCCAAAGGCCUUAAGGCUCCUGCACUUCCCGUGGGGACCUGGAAAAAGCUCCUGGCUCCUGGCUUUGGAUAGGCUCAGCUCCCGCCGUUUUGGCCAUCUGGGGAGUGAACCAGCAGGUGGAAGACCUCUCUCUCUCUCUCUCUGACUCUCUGGAACUCUGCCUUUCAAAUAAAAUAAAUAAGUCUUUUUUUUAAAGUUCAUGGAAAAUGGAAUUAAAUUUUUUUUUCUGAAAAUGGAGUCCUAGAAUUAUUAAAACUCGAGUUUGUUCUGGCAAAAGACCCGUUAGAGGAAUAUCCUCCCUCGAAGCUUCGGUUCUUUGCGAGCCCUGCCCCGCUCCUUCGCCUUUUAAAGACAGUAGCCCUAAGAACAUCAGCAUGGCGCAGCUGGGGAUUUGAGGGACAGAGAAGGAAACUUAAGUUUUUAUGUGGCCAGGAAGUGAAGCAAGGGCUAACUUCAGAAAGGCACUGAUGACGCGGAGUCCUCUCUAAAAGUCUCUCGGGAAACGUUUGCUAGGCCUAGGUCGGCCUACCAGGGGCAGGACCCCUGGGAGAAUCAGGCGGUCCUGGAAGAAGCUCCGGCGUAGACGACAAAAACUACACUUCCCACAGUGCUGUGCGCGGGCCCUGGCGCGCUCUCCCCCACCCACCCACCCACCCCCGACCACGGCCCCGGAGACCCCGCUUGCCAGGGCUGAGGUGCGAGGAUGCCGGGCAGCAGCUCGAGUUCGGCUGGGUAGCGUAGUUCAACUGCAGGGUCGCUGGGGCUGCGGAAAGGCGCCGAGGCCGCGGGAGCGGGUUUUGCAGCCUGUGCUUAGGCAGCUCGGAGAGGAGCACCGAUCCAGGUGGAGAAAGCACACGUCAAGAAGAGCAGUGCCACCUGCACAAGGACCACCAGCCCGCGGAGCAGGAGUGAGAGAGGGCAGCGAUCGCUUCUCUCGGGAAGACCUCAAGCUGCUCUGUCUCCCAGAAACCUAGAGCUGGAUUUCAAACAUCUACUAGCACACCACAGGAUUGGGUGCACCUAGAACUGAAGAACAUGUACAGAUGACAGCACACAGCAUCAACAUCACCAUCAUCAUCAACAGCUAAAAGAGGCCUAAAAACCACCUGGGACGAUAAAGAACCUCAUUGGCCAUCUGUUGGAGGAGACCCUAGAAGGAGGCCUGCUGUUCCUCCCAAAUCAGCAAGUCUGUGAUUUCCAUGUGCUGGGCAAAGUGCUUCUACAAUGCUUUCCUACAAAACGGCCAGAUGGAAGAACACCUGAUUCACACAGCUUAUCUUGGAGACAUUUUCAUAGCAGCCCACGAAGAUCUGCAUCCUGCAACUGCCACCGUUCAGAGUCAUGAAGGGAGAAGGGUGUGGCGAGGGAGGCCUGGAUCCAGAAGGAAGGUUUUACAGCUCUUCUGAUGCCCAGUAUUUGGAUAGAUUCAGCAACAUCAAAAUAUGAGCUGGAAAGAUACAGAAAAAUAAUGCAAGAAAAUAAGGCAUGGCACAGCAAACAACAGGUGGCUCUGUGAUAUGCAGUUUGGGAAGCAGACACACUCCCUGAAGUAUUCCUGCCUGGUGUUUUGAAAAAAUAAACAAAAAUUGACACAUCAUUGGCCCAACUAUUCAAAAAAGGAGAGAGAAGAUCCAAAUCAAUAAAAUUAGAUAUGAAAAAGGAAAUCUAAUGAUAGACACCACAGAAAUAAAAAGAAUCACUAGAUAUAAAGAGCUGUAUACCAACAGAAGAAAUGGACAGAUUCGUGGACACAUACAAACUACCUAAAUUGAGCCAUGAAUACAUAGAAAACCUAAACAGACCCAUAACCAAGAUGGAAAUUGAAUCAGUAAUAAAGGCCCUCCCAUAAAAGAAAAGCCCAGGACGGACCAGAUGGAUUUACUGCUGAAUUCUACCAGACAUUUAAAGAAGAACUAACUUCAAUCCUUCUCAAGCUAUUCAAAAUAAUUGAAAGGGAGGGAAUUCUCCCAAAUUCUUUCUAUGAAGCCAGCAUUACCUUAAUUCCUAAACCUGAAAAAGAUGCAACAGAAAAAGAGAAUUACAGAUCAAUUUCCCUGAUGAACAUCGAUGCAAAACUCCUCAAUAAAAUUCUAGCCAAUCAAAUCCAACAACAUAUCAGAGAGAUCUCCCACCCAGACCAAGUGGGAUUUAUUCCUGGUAUACAGGGAUGGUUCAACAUUCUCAAAUCAAUCAUUGUGAUACAUCACAUUAACAAGUCGAGGAACAAAAACCAUAUGAUUAUCUCAAUACAUGUGGAGAAAGCAUUUGAUAAAAUACAAUACCCUUGUAUGGUGAAAACUCUAAGCAAACUGGGUAUAGAAGGAACAUUCCUCAACAUAGUCAAGGCAAUUUAUGACAAACCCAUGGCCAGCAUCCUACUGAAUGGGGAAAAGUUGGAAGCAUUCCCACUGAGUUCCAGUACCAGAUAGGGAUGCCCACUCUCUUCAUUGCUAUUUAGUAUAGUCCUGAAAGUUUUAGCCAGAGCCAUUAGGCAAGAAAAAGAAAUCAAAGGGAUACAAAUUGGGGAGGAGGAAGUUAAACUAACCCUAUCUGCAGAUGACCUGAUUCUAUAUAUAGAGGAUCCAAAAAACUCCACUAAGAGACUAUUGGAACUCAUAGAAGAGUUUGGUAAAGUAGCAGGAUAUAAAGUCAAUACAAAAAAACCAACAGCCUUUGUAUACACCGACAACACCACAGCGGAGAAAGAACUUCUUAGAUUAAUUUCAUUCACAAUAGCUACAAAAAAUUCAAAUAAAUUGGAAUAAAUUUAACCAAGGAUGUCAAAGAGCUCUACAAUGAGAAUUAGAAAACAUUAAAGAUAGAAGAUCUAGAAAAAAAUAUGAAAUUCAUAUGGAGGCACAGGAGACCUUGAAUAGCUAAAACAAUCUCAUACAACAAAAAUAAAACCAGAAACAUUAGAAUAUCGGAUUUCAAGACAUACUACAAGGCAUUUAUAAUCAAAACAGCCUAGUACUGGUAUAAAAAUAGAUGGAUAGACCAAUGGAACAGAAUAGAAACAUCAGAAAUCAACCCAAACAUCUACAACCAACUUUUAUUUGAUCAAGGAGCUAAAACUAAUCCUUGGAGCAAGGACAGUCUCUUCAACAAAUGGUGCUGGGAAAACUGGAUUUCCACAUGCAGAAGCAUGAAGCAAGACCCCUACCUUACACCUUACACAAAAAUCCACUCAAAAUGGAUUAAAGAUCUAAAUCUAUGAUUUGAUACCAUCAAAUUAUUAGAGAACAUUGGAGAAACCCUGCAAGACAUUGGCACAGGAAAAUACUUCUUGGAAAAGACCCCAGAGGCACAGGCAGUCAAAGCCAAUAUUAACAAAUGGGAUUACAUCAAAUCGAGAAGUUUCUGUACGGCAAAAGAAAUAGUCAGGAAAGUGAAGAGGACACCAACAGAAUGGGAGAAAUUAUUUGCAAAUUAUGUAAUUGAUAGAAGAUUAAUAACCAAAAUCUACAAAGAAAUCAAGAAACUCCACAACAACAAAAUAAACAACCCAGUUUAGAGAUGGGCCAAGGACUUAGACAUUUUUCAAGAGAGGAAAUCCAAAUGGCCAAUAGAUACAUGAAAAAAUGUUCAGGAUCACUAGCCAUCAGAGAAAUGGAAAUCAAAACCAUAAUGAGGUUUCACCUCACCCCAGUGAGAAACAGCUUUCAUACAGAAAUCAACAAACAACAAAUGCUGGCAAGGAUAUGGGGAAAAAGGUACCCUAACCCACUGUUGGUGGGAAUGAAAACUGGUAAAGGCAUUAUGGAAUACAGUUUGGAGAUACCUCAGAAAUCUGAAUAUAAUCCUACCAUAUGACCCAGCCAUCCCACUACUCAGAAUUUACCCAAGGGAAAUUAAAUUGGCAAAUAAAAGAGCUAUUUGUAUUUCCAUGUUUACUGCAGCUCAAUUCACAUAGCUAAGACAUGGAAUCAACCUAAAUGCUCAUUAACAGAAGACUGGAUAAAGAAAUUAUAGAAUAUGUACUCCAUGGAAUACUAUACAGCAGUAAAAAAAAUCUAGUCAUUUGCAACAAAAUGGAUGAAUCUGGAAAACACCAUACUUAGCGAAAUAAGCCAGUCCCAUAGGGGCAAGUAUCAUAUGUUCUCCCUAAUCUGUGACAGCAAAGAGAACACCUAAAAGGAAACCUGUGGAAGUGAAAUUGACGCUAUGAGAAGCAAUGACUUGAACAGCCCUAGUCUUGACUGUUGAGGAAUGGUUUAUUAUUUUAUUUUUUUUACUAUUUUCUUUUUCUACUUAAUACCAUUGGUUAAAUUCUUUACUUAACACAGAAUUAUUCAUAGGUGUUUAAAUCCAAUUGAAAAGAGAUCCCAGUAAAAAAUAAGAGUGGGAAUAAGAAAGAGAGGAGCUGUACAGUUCGGCACACAUUCCCACAGACUUACCCUUAAGAGGAAAGCUAAAAACUUGCCAUGGGACACCAAAUCCCAUUAAGCUGGGUGGUACUGAUGCCAUCUUACAUGUUAAAGUGAUCAUUUUAAGUGUGUAACGGAUCAUAUAGAUAGAAUUAAGUGUUAAAGGGAUCACACAAUAAGACAAAGUGUCUGGUAAUAACAAUUGAUAGAAUUAAAAAGGAGAGAAUGAUCCAACAUGGGAAGCAGGCCACACAGCAGACUCAUAGAAUGACAAACGCCUUAAGCAGAACUCUGACCUCAGAAUCAGCCCUUAAGGCAUUCGGAUCUGGCUGAAAAGCCCAUGAGAACAUUUCAGGCAUGGAAAGCAAAGACACCGUGGCAAAAAAUGAUCUACACGAAGGAUCUCUGUGAGAAAGGGACCAUCAAAGAAGGAUGUACUUUUCUCUGAAGGGAGGAGAGAACUUCCACUUUGAAUAUGGCCCUGUCUAAAUAAGAUUGGAGUUGGUGAACUCAAGAGGCUUCCAUAGCCUUGGUAGCUCAUGACAAGAGCCUCAGGUGAUGAAUGAUAUCAUAAAUAAGAGUGCUAAUUGUUAAAUCAACAACAGGAGUCACUGUGCACUUGCUCCCCAUGAGGGACCUCUGUCCUUCAUGAGUUGUACUAUGAGAAUUGACAGUAAAACUUGUCUUCAAACAGUACUUUAUACUUUGUGUGUCUGUGUGGGUGCAAACUGUUGAAAUCUUAGUAUAUACUAAAUUGAUCUUCUGUAUAUAAAGGUAAUUAAAAAUGAAUCCUAAUGAAGAAUGGGAUGGGAGAGGGAGUGGGAGGCAGGAUGGGAAUGGGGGUGGGAGGGUGGGUAUGGGGGAAGAACCGUUAUAUUCCUAAAGCUGUACCUAUGAAAUUUGUACUCAUUAAAUAAAAGCUUUCUAAAAAAACAGUAGUGCUAAGGAGGCUAGAAGUCCAUCAUCAGGCAACCCCCCUGUUUCAGCCUUUCUUCCUGGCUUGUGGACAAUAUCUUCUCACUGUGCCACUGCAUGAGAAAGAGGAACAGGUCAGGGCUUCAACAUGGGAGCCUGGUGAGUACACAAUUCAGUCCAUAGCAGUCUAUUUUCAUUCAUUUCCUUGAAAACUACCCUUUCCACCUUAAAUAUCCAGUAGAAGAGAGAGUAUGAUUUUCUUCAUUUCUUCCCUCAAAUUUCUAAAAUGUCUAUAUGGAAAAAAGGUUGUGUAGUGGCAAAGGCAGGAACUAUGGAAUCAAACUAUGUGCUUUUAGAUCCCUCUUCAUUAUUUCCUAUGGAUAUGACCUGGAAAAUCAAUUAUUCUAAUAAAGCCUCCAUGUCUUCAUCUGUAAAACAGAGAUGAUGGUCAAAGUACCUCAGAGGGUUGUCCUGACUUUUACUGAGCUAAUAGUACCAAAAAACUCAGUCUGGUCCCAACUUGAUCUGGCUGGGUGGGAAUGAACAGUCUAUGGCAGAGUGAUAACAGUUACUAUCAUCACAAUAAGUAAUGUGAUCUACGAAGUUAACACAGUGCUGAGGGGGUACCAUGGUCAUCAUGAUUCCAUUCCUAAUGUUUCCAGUGACCUCUGCUGGGGGAAGCUAAGAAAGGAGAAGACCAUCAUGUUGUUCCAAAGGGGAACACACUGUUGUUGCUACUGAUGCAGUCUUAGCAUUCAUUGCCGACAGCCUGCUGAGCUAUUUUAUACAAUGUAACUGGGCGUGAUUGGUGAUAAUACUAGAAUAGGCAUGGGUUAUCAGCUAAGCUUGCUACGUGUCAUCGUGUCUAACUGUGUUCCUAGAGUGUUCUUUGGGCUAAAAGCAAAAUGCCCCUCAGCAGCUGCAGAGGGAAUCAAUGCAAGAGACACGGGGCUUCGGAAAGGGAGAAGACAACAGCGCUGGGAGAGUGCAGACUGCCCUGUGGGAGGAUCAGCACCCCAGCUCCCCUGACUGCCGGUGGGGUCCAAGGGCUAUAAUGUUUCUUCCCAACCUUCCUACAUGGUUUUCUGCAUCUGCCUAGCCCAUGGCCUAAUCCCAAUGUGUACUUCUUAAAACUUUCUGAGUGUGUACUGUUGAAAUCUUUGGGACAAUAUGUUAAGAUGUUUUAGUUAUGUUUUUCUGAAUAGACUAUAGAUGAGACUGCUGCUGCAGUCUCCUCUCUCUUCCCUCCCUCUGGUCCAUCUCAAGAAGCAAAAGGUGGUCAGAGCUAUGGUGCAGAGGGUUAAGCCACCAUCUGCAGUGCAGUAUCCCAUAUGAGUUCAAGUCUCAGCUGCUCUACUUCCAAUGCAGUUCCCUGCUAAUGUGCUUGAGAAAGCAGCAGAUGAUGGUCCAAGUGUGUGGAUUACAUGGGAGACCCGGAUGAAGCUCCUGGCUCCUGGCUUCAGCCUGUCCCAGCCUUUGUCAUUGUAGGCAUUUGGGAAAUGAACCAGCCAAAGAAAGAUUCUCUCUCUUUGUCUCUCCCUCUCUUACUGUAACUCUUUCAAAUAAAUAAAUAAAUAAAUCCUUAAAA